CUUGUACUUCUUCCGACCCAUAUUACAUGUCGAAAUAUUACAUGUAUCUAGACGCUUUUUCAAAAUAGAUACAUCCAUAUUUGAGCAAAUUUGAGACACGUAAUAUGGGUCGGAGGGAGUAGAAA
rfam:Brachypodium distachyon strain Bd21 chromosome 1, whole genome shotgun sequence.